AAUCGGCCUCAACAUGGGCAUGCAUAUUCGGCCACAUGAGGGGAAAUUGGUGUGCAUGCAUUCGGUUAGAGGCAAGCAUAUUGAUGCCUAUUCUUGGCUUAGAAAAUUCGGCUAAGAGGAAUACUAACUAAGGUGUUGAGUUCGAUUCAUGAUUUUGUACAUAUGCGACUUUGAUGCCUAAUGAGUAGAUAUUUAUAUAUUGGCUAGGCAUCUUGAAUUCCUCUUCCGAUGCUCAAAUGAUAAAACCAAUUUAUUUGUUAAAUUUAGCUCAAGAAGCUAGAGGUGGAGAAUCAAGCAAAGGCAAAGGAAAGAUAAUCGAGUAGUCGAUUGGAAAUCGUUUCAUCCAAUAUAAGGUCACUGGGACUCGUACUGUUGUGUGCUCGGAACCGUCGUUGAAGUCAUCACACCGGCUGAAAUCUUGUGGUAUUACUUUUUUUUUUGUUGUUGAAGAACAUUUGGCAUGUAUAGGCUAUUAUAUUUUGUCGAUUUGUGGGAUUGUAAACUUUAAGCCAUGUGAAAAUGGCCUAUGUGGUCGUCGAGUGGGAUGCUAGAACCUAUAGCCACGAGUCUUAGAAACUCAAAUUUUGUUAAGGUGGCCAUAAUUUGUGUCAUGUAUGAUGGAUGAUUAAGGCCAAGGAAAAAUUCAUGAAA